rnacentral:rRNA from 1 species
GACUGGGAUAACUCCGGGAAACCGGAGCUAAUACCGGAUAGUUCCUUGAACCGCAUGGUUCAAGGAUGAAAGACGGUUUCGGCUGUCACUUACAGAUGGACCCGCGGCGCAUUAGCUAGUUGGUGGGGUAAUGGCUCACCAAGGCGACGAUGCGUAGCCGACCUGAGAGGGUGAUCGGCCACACUGGGACUGAGACACGGCCCAGACUCCUACGGGAGGCAGCAGUAGGGAAUCUUCCGCAAUGGACGAAAGUCUGACGGAGCAACGCCGCGUGAGUGAUGAAGGUUUUCGGAUCGUAAAGCUCUGUUGUUAGGGAAGAACAAGUGCGAGAGUAACUGCUCGCACCUUGACGGUACCUAACCAGAAAGCCACGGCUAACUACGUGCCAGCAGCCGCGGUAAUACGUAGGUGGCAAGCGUUGUCCGGAAUUAUUGGGCGUAAAGGGCUCGCAGGCGGUUUCUUAAGUCUGAUGUGAAAGCCCCCGGCUCAACCGGGGAGGGUCAUUGGAAACUGGGAAACUUGAGUGCAGAAGAGGAG